rnacentral:rRNA from 1 species
UACGGGGGGAGCAAGCGUUGUUCGGAUUUACUGGGCGUAAAGGGCGCAGUAGGCGGCCAGCACAAGUCAGUUGUGAAAUCUCCGAGCUUAACUCGGAAAGGUCAACUGAUACUGUGCGGCUAGAGUGCGGAAGGGGCAACUGGAAUUCUUGGUGUAGCGGUGAAAUGCGUAGAUAUCAGGAGGAACACCGGUGGCGAAGGCGGGUCUCUGGACCGAUACUGACGCUGAGGCGCGAAAGCGUGGGAAGCAAACAGG